UACGUAGGGUGCGAGCGUUGUCCGGAAUUAUUGGGCAUAAAGAGCUUGUAGGCGGUUUGUCGCGUCUGCUGUGAAAAUCCGGGGCUCAACCCCGGACUUGCAGUGGGUACGGGCAGACUAGAGUGUGGUAGGGGAGACUGGAAUUCCUGGUGUAGCGGUGGAAUGCGCAGAUAUCAGGAGGAACACCAAUGGCGAAGGCAGAUCUCUGGGCCGUAACUGACGCUGGAGGUGCGAAAGCGUGGGGAGCAAACAGG
rnacentral:rRNA from 1 species